rnacentral:rRNA from 1 species
UACGUAGGGUGCGAGCGUUGUCCGGAAUUACUGGGCGUAAAGCGCGCGUAGGCGGUUUUUUAAGUCAGAGGUGAAAGCCCAGUGCUCAACACUGGAACUGCCUUUGAAACUGGAAAACUUGAAUCUUGGAGAGGUCAGUGGAAUUCCGAGUGUAGAGGUGAAAUUCGUAGAUAUUCGGAAGAACACCAGUGGCGAAGGCGACUGACUGGACAAGUAUUGACGCUGAGGUGCGAAAGCGUGGGGAGCAAACAGG